UACGUAGGUGGCAAGCGUUAUCCGGAAUUAUUGGGCGUAAAGGGCUCGCAGGCGGUCUUCUAAGUCUGAUGUGAAAUCUUGCGGCUUAACCGUAAGCGGUCAUUGGAAACUGGAGGACUUGAGUACAGAAGAGGAGAGUGGAAUUCCACGUGUAGCGGUGAAAUGCGUAGAGAUGUGGAGGAACACCAGUGGCGAAGGCGACUCUCUGGUCUGUAACUGACGCUGAGGAGCGAAAGCGUGGGGAGCAAACAGGAUUAGAUA
rnacentral:rRNA from 1 species